AAUCUCUAUAUGACCGCCUUUCAUCAUCAUAUCUGAAGUGAUGACGAGAUCUCAAAGGUGUCCUGGAUCUACGAUUUCUAUGCCGGCGAGGAGGUGAGUACGAAGGAGACCUGCGCCUUUGCCGAUAAUUAACUGGUGAUUUUGACUUUGAUCUGGACCUUGGUCGAGAUUGGGAUGGUGACCUAGAUUUUCUUUUUGUUUCCUUCUCUUCAUCAACAAGUCCAUCAGCUUUUAACUUCUUACUAAUUUCUGCAGCUCUAGCUGCUGCUAACUCUGUUGCAGACUUCAUGGUUGCAGCUCGAUUAGCUGCCUGCUGUGCAGUCAUAGUUUGUUGCAUAAGCAAAGCUUGUUGAAAUUGCAUCUGUUGCAUGGCAACAGCUUGCUGCAUCAUCAUUGGCAAAGAAGAUGAAGCCAGAGAAGAAUUCAAAAUCGAUUUUUGAGGAAGUGAUUUAGCCAUCUCAACAUUCAAGGGCCGACCCCCAACAUCCAUAUUGUUCAAUGCUAAAGCUGCGGUUGCUUCUUCAGGUUUUGAGUAUUCUAUGUAG
rnacentral:misc_RNA from 1 species